rnacentral:lncRNA from 1 species
AUGAUCUGUGGGCAUUUAGGCCCCAUUCCUGCCAUACUACUGAGAGUGGGAUCUGCUCCCAGGGUUACCUCUUGCACUUUUAAGAGUCUGCUAAAGGCUUUCUCUGGGAAAUGCAUCUAGCAGCCUGGGAUCCUUUCAGCUAAUCCACUCUGGGCAUUAGGUAUUUUUCUUCCUUGGAGAUCUGGAAAUGCACUCAAGUGUAUGUUCCUUGUUUUGUAGCACAAUACUCAGUGCCAAAUUCUGCGUGCUUUACUUGUCUCAAGCUGUUACAUGUUGCUCUCUAAGGGUUUGGACUAAUGUUAGUUUUUAAUUCCCCCUCCUUUUUGGUUCUUUCUUUCUCUCUCUUUUUUUUUUCUUUUCUUUUUUUUUUUUUUCCCCAACCUGGUUUGGAAGAAAAACAGCCACAGCGGUUAGAAGUAUUGAACACUUUUUGUUGUUGUUUAGUUACGCAGUCUCUGCACACACUGUUUUAAUACAAAAUAUUUUCAAAUAACCAGUGAUUAACUCAAGAGCUUAUUUAUACGUUUAGCCACCUGGGCUAGAUAUUGGCAGCAGCAGCUAAUUGAGAGAUUGCAAGGAUAUGACAAAUACUAUGGAGAGGUCAUCUGUCUACUGAAAUCAACUCAAAUUAUAGUAACAGCACAUAAUUAAACUGCAGCUUGCUUUCCUGACAUGAAUCCCUCUCUGGCUUGGUAUUCAUCUACUAUUUGCCUGGCUUUGUACUUUCAACAGUUUGCAACCUUUCUUUUCCUUCCUGAAAUCACCUGCUAUUUUUCCAGGAUUCUAAAAGCCGCCGAACCUGUAAGGACUUUUUUCUGGUUGCUUUUGUUUUUUUGUUACAUGUUUACACCUGUCUGACUGUAACUGAACAACCCAGAGUCAGUCUUUUUUCUCUGGGAUGCUACAAACCAUUGAUGAAACCUUUUCUAGGUAAUUCAAUCCAAGAACAUGGAUAAAUGAAUUACUUAAAGUUCUACUAAAGCAGAGCAACGCCUGAAGCCCUGCCCAGGUGUGCUUUCUCAACCUGAUAAACCUGAGACCUCAUUGUGGCCUUCCAGUACUUGGAGGGAACUUACAAGCAGGAAGGGAACCAACUUUUUACAUGAUCUGAUAGUGAUAGGACAAGGAAGAAUGGCUUAAACUAAAAGAGGGGAGAUUUAGGUUAGAUGUUAGGGAGAAACUUUUCACUCAGAGGGUGGUGAGGAGCUAGCACAGCUGCCCAGAGAAGCUGUGGUGACCCAUCCAUGGAGGUGCUGAAGUCCAGGUUGGAUGGGGCCUUGGGCAGCCCUGCCCAUGGCAGAGGGUUGGGGCUGGGUAGGCUUUAAGGUACCCUCCUACCCAAACCAUUCUAUGGUAAACAGAGGUGGGUUCCCCGUCUUUCAUUGGAGAUGGGGUCAACCAACCCAUGCUGUCUGUGGGAACAGCUCAGCAUGUGUGCACAACCAUCACCAAAGAUCAGCUUAGCAGCUGAAAAUACAUACCUGGGUCUACAUCUUGGUGACCAUUCCUGUGCAUGUCUCCCUAGGUAAUUCUGGGACCGUGGUUUUUCCUUUUUCCCACUCCUCCUCCCUAUACAAGCCUCAUGUGGCCAGGAUCAGUGUCUUGGCCAGAUGUGGAGAUCUGUUUAUGGGCUGAGCCUUCCCUCUUUCCACCCCCUCUCCUCUUCACCAGCACCUCAUCUGUGUUGACAUCCUCAGUCUUUUCUGUCUCCUGUGUCUCAGGCAGCUGACUUUCCUUGGUUUCCUUCCCACUCAGACCACUGGCUACCUUCCUUGCCUCCCCUGCAGUGCAGUGUUGCUGUGUUUCUUCUGAUGUCUUUCUCCCUGCCUCGGAGAGUGGAUGUUCUCUGAGGGACCACGUGGGAUGUCCUGAUCCAGACUGGACCCUGCCUUAGUGCCUUGCGUCCAUGGUACUGCCAACUUGGGAAAAUCCAUACAUCACUCUGUCUCCUUCCUUUGUUCAAGGGUUUUUCUUUAACAGCCAUCCUGACAAAAAAAGCAACAACUUUCUCUGUGCUGUAAACUUACUGAACUAGCAAUAACUCCUUUAUAGCUUUGCUGCCCUUGCUGUUAACAGAGAAGUGUUAAGUUUCUGUAUUUUCUCACUUGGCUGCUGGCCAUCCUUUCAAUUUCUGGUGCAAUUUUUAUCUUGACAUUGUAAAAAGAGACCAGGUAUGUUGUGAGCUUUGGGAUAAGCUUAAAUGUUACAAUCACUGUACAAGGAUACUCCAGCUUUGUUAAUGGACUUACUAUUUCUUUCCAUUGCAGCUGUCUCCCUUUAGUACCUGCCAGUUGCUGAUCAGCUCUACGCAACUAUCCAGCUCCGGCAGGAAUUUGUUAGGUAUUUCCUGCAAAGGACUGAGAAAAAGCAGGAGCAGGGGUGACAAGAGAGACAGACGGGAUGAAAGGGACAGGCAGGAUGAAAGGGAAAGGCAAGAGAACCUGAAUCUGUGGGUGGCCUGGAAGCUGCCUCUGAAGGCAUAAGAGCCAAGCGUGGGAGAGAAAAUAUUUUGUUUGAUUGUUUGUCUGUGUUGCCUGCUGACAUUUUGGACAUGCCUGUGGAUAUCUUCUCAUGGUGGCAGUAUGGUAUGUGGGACUUUGUGCUGCAGAAUACGGGGAGGCAACUAACCUUUAAAAUUAAAAAGAUCAGCCAGUGAAGGAAAAACAACAGCACUGUGAUGUCUCCUAACAUUGACAUAGAACUUUGUUGACCAACCCAGCCUUUGACCAACCCAGUCUGAGGCCAUCAGGUGGUCCUGGUGCAUUCUUCUGUCAUUAAGAGUAUGGCUGGUAGCACAGGUCUGGAGGGGCCAUUGGGAAUGGCCAGAACAGCCCUGUUUUAUGUGAGAAGAGCCCAGCCAGUUUAUGAACCUUUCAGCAAUGAGAGAAAGCCUCUUCACAACCUCAGGAGAAGGACAGACAUUUUCAGAAUCCUGGAGGUAACUCUGGGUAUGUAUUAUCAACUGGCUGGAGGUGUUUCCAUGGAAAUAAUGAUAUGUCCAGCUAGUCUUCUAAUGUUAUGUCCAGCCUCUGUUCCCCAAGUUUAUGCACAGGAUCCCAAGAGAAGUGGUCAGAGCACCAAGCCUGCUGAAAUUCAAGAAGCAUUUGGAAAAUACUCUAAGAAAUGUUGUUUAAGUAUUAGGUAGUCCUGUGGAAAGCCAUGAUUUGGACUUGAUGAUCCUUGUGGGUCCCUUCCAACUUUUUAUUGGAUAUUUUAUGAUUCAAUGAUUUUAUGUUCAGGGAUUCAAGGAGGGAUAGGGCUUAAAGGGAAGAGGGUCAUACUGGUUCAGCAAAAGGGGUAACUCUUUCUUCUGUGUCCAAAUAAGUUUGAAGCUCCAGGGACUUCAUUUUUACCUCAAAAGAAGUGACAUUGUUCAGCUACUCUGAUGCAGAGCUUUAAUAAGACUGUAGGUGGGACUGGGAAGUUCUGAUAAGCCAUCUUGUCGAAUCAGCAGAGAAAAGGAUCUGUCAGUGUACUGCAUACAGCAUUGUCCAUCCCCCCUUCUUUUGCCCAUCACACAGGGAGCCUGCAGCAAACAAGUACAAAGCCAGUUCUGAUAGGUGCCCUGUAUCUCACUGGGAUGAGUCCAAGCCCCUCAGUGCUGCUCUGGAGGGGCUGCUGCAAGAUUUCAGCUGCUCCCACUAAAAGAGGUUGGGUGAAUUAGUGCUAGAUUUUCAUUAGCCAGCCAGCUUGUGAAUCAUUUGUAGCUUUUUGUUUCUUUUGUGUAUUAGCUGAUGGAUUAGCUGAUUUGGCAGAUAAACAGGAAAUUAAUGAGUAGUGACACUCCCUUACGCAAAGAAUUGGUCCAUCUGUCCCACUGAACAUAGCACAGAGGAUGACAAACAUUAUAAUAGCUCACCUAAUGCUGUUCUUUCUUAGAUGGCAGAGGGGCAUUUCCUCUUAUCCAGUGAUACAAAAUACCUCUCAGGAGAUAAAUAUUUAUUCUUAUGAGCAGGGAUCACUAUUAAAAAAAAAAAAAAAAAAAAGGUAUUAUUUGCAUUAAGAUAAACUUUUUAUUCUUUUGCUUAAAUUUUGUGUUCUCACAUACUUAUUUUAGGCUUGCAUUGAUUAGAGAAAUAUUGACAAUUUUAGUGGCAUUAAAUAAGCCCCGUUGCCACCAACUACACGUGAAUUUGGGUAUCUCAUGAUUUUAAAAUUUCAAGGAAUAUGUACAUAAACAAAUGCAUGCAGUGGAAAACUGAAAAAGAAGUAUGUGAAAACUGGCUUCAUUUCUGUUUCAAAUAAGUGUGUGAGGUGGAAGUGUAGGCCCCUCUAAUUUAUUGGUAGCUGAAACUCUCAUGCAAGCCGUUGGGUAUGUGACUUUCAGGAUCUCCUCUAUUCCAAGAUUACAUGCACGGGACUGUUGCAAUGCAGUUAAAGGUGAUAAGUUCAAGUGUCGCUCUGACUAAUUCUUUAUCCAGAAAGGUAAAGAGACUUAGGAUGGAAACAUUUUAAAACAUAAGUCACUCAGAAACAGUGAUGACUUUCUAUUCACGCCAUACAGGAUCUACUUUCUCCUAGAGAACAGAAACAUGGAAACCAUGGACAUAUGUCUAUAAGAGGUCAUUUUUUGCUGUUUCUGAUGUCUAUAUUUUUUUCAAUACUAGGUGUUUCCAUAGUACUGGAAUGUUUCUAGUGUUUCUGGAAUAUUUGAAACCAGUAAAUUUCCAGUAUACAGAAACAGUUGUUAUAUUACUGAAUUUCGCUGAGUUGGGCACCCAGCUUUAACAACAAGAAAAAUCUUGGUUCCACUGGGUAGUCCAAGUUAAUUUAAUGAAAGUCAUGCAGUGAAUGUAUAGCCACAGAAUCAUUAAGGCUGGAAAAGACAUCUAAGAUCAUCUAGUCCAACUGUCCACCUACCACCCAUGUUGCCCACUAAACCAUGUUCCUUAGUAACACAUCUACACGUUCCUUGAACACCUCCAGGGACAGUAACUCCACCAUCACCCUGGGCAGACCAUUCCACUGCCUGAUCACUCUUUUAGAGAAGUUUUUCCUGUUAUAAGGCAAGCAAAAAUGAUACUAAUACUCAUCCUGUCCAUCAGGAUGGGAGGAGAGAAAUCAGUUCCAUGAAUCAGGCCCUCAACUGAAGAAGCUUGCCUUGGGAUAUCUCAUAAGGAGCCAAGGUUGUGGAGCCAGAUAUAAUAAAAUCCAAUGUCAUUUUUCUUCCUGCUGCAGUGAUUAGAACUGGUCUGAAAGUUUCCCUCCACAGUUGCUUUCAGGGUUGGCUGGCCUAUGGACAAGACCUCUGUGAUCCAAAGCCUGAUGAUUGAGUUACUGGCUUGGCAUACAAGAAAUCUGGUUUCAAAUCCCUGCUUUGCCUGAAGCAGAGCUGACUUUUUUUUUUUUUGUUCCAAACCUUUACUGUGCUUCAAUCUGAGUGACUUGAAUUUAGGACUGCACGUGCCAAACGCAAUACCACAACCAUCAGGGUAUGGAAUAUUUGUCUUGAGAUGGAAACAUUUCUAUUUAAACCUUAGCUUUGCUGACAAAGAAACAUAUGAAAUUAUAUUUGUUUGAUGAAGGUCAGUUCUUAGAUGAAAUGAAUUUCUUGAGAACAGAACCAUUCAGCAGCUGGUACUCUGGUCAUGUCCUUUACCCUGUUUAAAGUAUACACAGAUUGGAAGAGCUAUUGGCACCUGAGAUCACCCAUGGCCCAGGGUAAUUUUUAAGAGGAGAAGCACCAAACAACUGCAAGUCAAGUAAUCACCUGUCCCUAGGUCAUUAACACAGCUUUGUCUUUGUCCAGAGGACCAGGCCACUUUACUGUUUAUAGCCAUGCACACUGGCCAACCUGCUACGGGGUAGCAGAAGUAGCAGAUAGAUGAAUAUGAAAACAAGCUAUUUUGUUAUGAAAGUCAUUAGUACAAGUUGUCUGUCUUAAGACUAAAUCAUCUCUGGACAAAUCCUGAAGACCUGUCUUGGUUUGUUUUGGUUUAGCCUUUAGUGAAGAACACCUGCUGUUGAAGCCAAGAUCAUUUUCUUCUCUCUGUGGAAAACUGCAAUGAUGCCUGGUUUAGCCCAAUAAAAUAAUGAUGAUCCUCCACAAGCUCUGUUGAAAUGAUGAUCUCAAUCUAUUAAAACAAUGUUAAACAGUCUUUAUUACCUGUGUGUGAACUGGAUGACAAGUGGAUACUUUUGCAAGCUAAGGCAAAGAAAGCAAAGAGCUACAUCUGUGGCCAUGUUGUGUGCUGAUGACUUUUCAUUCAUUUUUGCCAAUGGUCGAUCAGUUGACUUCAGCUGUCUCUUCACAAUAUUGGAAAGCCAAGGAAGAAAACAUGAGGAGGUGUAUAUGUAUUCAUUUAAAAAUACAGUGGUGGCUCAGCACAUCCAUGUACAGAUGGGUUUGAGAGAAAAAUGUAAUGAUUCAAAGGGCCAAUUUUAACUUUGCUAAAAGCAGCUAAAUGAUGCCCCUGUCCCACAUUAAACUAUGCUGUGAUCAAAGAGGGCAGAUGCCAAGUACUUGUGGUUUUACAGUUUUCAAAUAAAUAUUGCUCAACCUCAUAAAAAAGAACUUGAGAACAGUGAGUGUACUUGUCCUAUUUAUUUUUUUCCUGAGUAUUUAUUUCUUUAUUUUCAGUAUACUUUACAGGUAUAGGGGAUAUUGCUGCUGUUCCUUCUCAGGAUUUCUACACAGAAUUCAGCUGUGAAUGCCACUUGACCACAAACCCAGUUAAUUUAGAUUGGCACGCUCGAUCGCAGGAUGUUUUAUGGGCUGGCAGAUAGAGAGCCCUGGCAGAUGUGCUAUGGAGCUGCAAAGUUCCAUACCCAACUGAAACUUUUAAUUCAACACUGUCAUUUUUAAAUAACAGUGCAACUGCAAAACAAAUUGGCAGGUACUUACGAACUGAAUGCUGCCUGAGGCCCUGUCUUUUCAUUUUGCUGACCAGUGUGUCUGGUCUCCAAUUUAGAAAAGUGCCCAGUAGUUAAAAAGCACUAGUGAAACCUUGUAAUGCAGGGCUAACUGCAUUAUUCACAAAGCAGGAGAUGCCUGCUCUGACUUGUUGAUCCUUGCAAAUUUCUUAGCUUCAGGAAGAUAGAGGGCAACGUUUAAAAAUAAAAGCACUCUGAAGUAUUUAUUUAUUGUAGUAACCAGUAGAGCAUGAAUCUUCUUUGCAAAGUUUAAGAUUUCUGCCCUAGGUCCUUUAUGAAUCUUGAAGGAAUUUUGGAGUAUUAAACUAGAAGGGCCCUGUUAGGUAACUUAAUCCCAGUGCUCUGCUAUCUUGGACAACUAGCUCCCAUGAUCUAUUUCCUGGACACUAAGUUGCAUCAGAUACAUGUGGUCCAUCUCCUAUAAAUCAGCAUAGUUCUGCUGAAUCUGAUUUGUGAAGCUCCAGCUUUUGUCAUGUGGUUUUGUAAAAUACCUUGCUUCUUUACCUGUGUUUUUGCAUUGCUGCCUCCCUAAGCAGUGUAACCAGAAGUUGAAUGGGAUUUUUAGAACAAGUAUAGGCAUUCAAGUAAUCUCACAAAAUCCUGCAUCACCACUGCAUUAAGCCCAUUAACUGUCAACCUGCUAGCUGUCAGUCUAUGAACUAAUCAGCUUAUACUCCCAUAAAGCAUAGAAGUUGUAUGUAAUGACAUGACCCAACAGCCAUAAAUCAUGCUCAGGAUUGGUUCACUUGUGCUGUGAUGACCCAGUGGAGAAUACAGCUUUCAUAUGUGGGUAUCUUCAUUUUUUUGUUUUGUAGGAAAGACAGGACCCAGAAAGCACCGACAGUAGCAUCUCCAAAGGUCCUUCAUCCUGCCAUAAAUCAGGAUAUGUCUACUAGAAAAGAGAGGCAAUGUCCAGACUUUAACCUUUAGCAACGUUCACACAACUUGUGACCACGUGUCAUAUAAUGUGUGCUUGAACCUUACCCUGUUGAGUCUUCAUUCUCCAUUCACGGGAUCUACCAUGCAAUGGGCUGCAGAACAGAGUGCCUUACAGACUCUGGGUCAGAGAUGUCUUCCAAACCUAGUAUUGAGAAAAAGGACCACAAUUCUACCUCAGGAAAGAAGAUGUAACUUGGAGGCUGAUCUGCAUUUUCUCUCUCCAAAGAUUUUUGGAGAAGAUACAAAGGGUGAAUAUCUGGAACUCUGUCACCUGGACACUUUCUUUACUUCCCAGGAAUCUUUCUUGCCAGUGAAAUAUUAGAAGCUAGCAAAGUCAUUCCAGUGACCCCACAAUGAGUGGGUGGAAGAGGUAUGUGAAAAUUAAAAGUAUUAUUUGGUAGCUUCUCUGGAUGCUUCUUACUUUCCUGUGGGGAGGAAGGACCUGACAUAGUCUGAUCCUAUCUAUUUUUUUUCCCCCUUAAUUGGUUUCAAGAAGAUUUAUCAAUCAUUUCUGUCCAAGCAAUGUGCUAACACAUAUAAUACCACAUGCAUUCAUUACAUUCCCCAAAAAACACAAGGUGAAACUUUGAGCUUUGCAACUGUGGAGUUCUCUUGCUCUGCCUAAUCAUGCAAUGAAGCAAUUGCUUCCCUGUGCUUUGAAAAUAGCUGUCAAAAUGUUCUUGGAAAUGCUCACCUAAUCAGUUCAAAUUACCUCAUACUUUAAAUGAUUGCUUCUCCUGCUUUGUUGAUGCUCUAAAUGUGACAUCAAAUGCUGUUCCGAAAAGGAGUGAGCAUUUCUCAGAAGGUUAAUCACUUUGCUGACUUGGGGCUCUAGGGAUAAUGAAAAGACAGUGCCUAUCUUGUAAACACAGAUCAGUUUACUCCAGUGUAAUCUCUUCUAUGAACUGGAGAGGUGAUGGCCACUGAUGAAGAAAGUGAGAUACAUAAGAAAAGUAACGUAUACUCAGAUCUUAGCAAAGUGCUGUUGUAGCUGAGGUUGAUAUGCUUAACUGUACAUUGGGUCAGUGGUUCCCUUCUGGCCUGGUGUUGCAGAAGCUACUAAGGAAGUAGGUAGACAAAAGUAUUACCCUUAUGCUAUCUUAAUGCUGAAAAAAAUGGUCUGCCCUGUGAUCCUGAUCUCUUCCAUUCUUAAAAUCCAAGGCACAGAUCUUCUCAAAUAGAUGACUCAUCUGUUGCCAGGAAGGUGAAAGUCCAGCUAUUAAUGAGUUGCUUUAUUGUAUACAGCCUUGAAAGUCUGGGCUCUGCAAUCAGUUCAGCUGAACGCUUUGGACCUCUUCCCAUCACUUGAUUCUAAUCAUGAGUCUGCACCUGGUCCAGCUUUCUAUUUGGGACAAUAUGUUAAAAAUUCAUUGUUGCACUUCUUUUUAUUUUUUUUUUCCUUUUAAUUGACUUUUUAUUCCCCUCUGAGUUAAAUGAAUGCUUUAUAGGAUGAAGACCAAACAAUGUCAAUGGAAUGAAUCGUGGAGGAGAGCCAGAAGCACCGCUCAUAUUUAGGAGAAAGUAGGAGUAUCCAGCUGUAUCCUGCUCACCCACUUUGAUGUCUUUGGCUGAAAGAGUGACGUGAUUCAGACCACCUACUCUCCAGGCCUUGGCUCCCUUGGUGGUCAAAGGGGAGAAGAAAUCAUGAACCCCGCACAGCACACCUGUACCAUGCCUCCUGCAUCCUCUUUCGCCGACUGUGCAGGGAUCAGGUGUUUGGCAGCUCUGGAGACUGUGUGGUUCCACGUGUUUGUCCCUUACUUGAUCUUUAGCACUGUAAUCUGGAACUGUGUCCAACUGAGGCACCAGGGGACACAGUUUGAGUGCACCUUGCUGUAAGCAUGCUGUGUUUCUGUAAACAUUUCUGAAUAGGAAUAGAUGAUGUGUUUGCUUCAUCUACAAGCCUUAGGCAGCAUCAGGACAUACUCCACUUGGCCUAGAAGGACCAGGUCUGGAGCUGGAUAUGUCUGAGAUAAAUCCAGGCAGCACUUCAACUUUCUUAGAUUAUCUUAGGCUUUUCAUGUUGCUUUGUUUUAAACUCUACUUGUUUUAUUUUCUUUUUCAAAUGAGAAAGCUAUUAGGAGAUACGAGGAGGCUCAGAAAGCACAGCACUUUAGAGCUGAUGGUCACUUCACUAGUCAGACUUUGGACAUCAGAGUGGACUUCAAUUUCUGUCUUAAGCAUCUCCGUGUACUUGCAAGCAGAGUGAUGGAAGUUUUAUGGACCCCUCACUACAAGAAAGACAUUGAGGCCCUGGAACACGUCCAGAGAAGGGCAAUGAAUCUCUGAGGGGUCUGGAGCACAAGUCUGGUGGGAAGUGGCUGAAGGAACUGGGAUUGUUUAGUCUGGAGAAGAGGACGCUCAGGGGAGAACUCAUCGAUUUCUACAACCACCUGAGGGGAGGUCAUGGCAAGGUGAUGGUCAGCCUCUUCUCAAAGGUAACAGCGAUAGGAUGAGAGGAAAUGGCCUCAAAUUGUGCCAGGGGAGGUUCAAGUUGGAUAUUUGGAAAAAUUUCUCAGCAAGAGUGGUGUGGCAGUGGCACAGGCUGCCCAGGGACAUGGUGGAGUCACUGCCCCUGGGGGUGUUCAAGAAAAGGGUAGGUGUAGUACUUAGGAACGUGGUCAGUGAGAAUGGUGGGGAUGAGCUGACGGUUGGACUAGGUGAUCUCAGAGGUCUUUUCCAAACCUUAAUGAUUCUAUGGUUCUGUUCUAUGAUUCUAUUUUAAGUUGCUAUAACAACUACAGAUACCAAGAAAACCUAUAGUCAAAGGCAACUUAUCUGCUAGGGCCUGUCCAGCUGCUGGUUAUCAUCCCUGUUGCAUCUGGCUUUUCACAGUACAUCUGUUUAGCAUAAAUAACCUUUUUUUAUUGGAGUCCUAUGGUACAUCCAAACAAUGAACAGAAGAAAAAAGAGAAACUCUAAAUAAAUUUUACAGUGUCAGUAAGAGCAUUCACAUUAAGGGAAACUAUUUUGAGUGAAUGCCAGUCCUUAAUAAAUUGCUAUUAUUCUGGUGUUUGUACAAAGACCACAGGGGAAAAAAAAAGAAAAAAGAAAAAAAGAAGAAAAAAACCCACAGAAAUUGUUGAAAAAUGGAAACACUGAAUGUCAAUGCUCAAUCACUCCUUUUAAUCAUAAUACUUCUAGGCCGUUCUUCUAACAGAUCAAGUGCCAAGAUUUUUUUUUUUCUUUUGGUGUCUAUCUGAAAAGCCAGUGGCAUAAAACAAGACCAUGACUCACCUGGCCAAGCUCCCUUUCCUGAAUGCUCCCUAGAAGGCUGUCUUUCAACCCACAUUACCAACCCAUGGUCUGAGCAGGCUUUCUGGAACACUGGGGCUCUCCUGCACAGCUCAGAGCUCUACAGAAAUGGCUGUCGUGAUUCAGAACCUGCAAGCUUAGGCUCCAGAACAGGUGAGCCCUCCUGCAGUUGCCCAGCUGAUGUAUCACACUAAGAGGCAGCAAAAUUUCUUAAAGACAGCAGGUUUUGCUAAGUAUGCCCAUGCUUUUCAGUCACAGUUACUGACUCAAUUUUCUUGGUUUAAUUUCUUAGAAAUGGAUCUUUUCUGCCCAUUAGCCCGUGAGGAGCUCUGCUGGUUUGUUUUUGUAGUGAUCAGGCUAUUUUAUGUUUGCCUCUUUUACAGCUCCUGUGGGUGUCACUUGCUUAAUUCUUGCCUGUGGAUAUUCUGGGAAGCUGCUGUGUUUCCUUGGGAUUUCCACACCUGGAGGAGCCCUUUGCUGAUAAAAGCCAUUGGCACCAUAAGAGUAGGAUAAGCAAUGUGUGGCUGUGGAAACACAGAUGCUUCACCCGGUGUUGGAAAAUCAGGUGCUAGGCUGACUGUGACAGAUGCUUGGUGAGGGUCAUUUCCCAGCAGGCAGGAGCAGGGGAAUACUGGAAACAAUGCCAGAGGAUCACAGUAUCACAGUAUCACAGAGUUGUAGGGGUUGGAUGGGACCGCUGGAGAACAUCGAGUCCAACCCCCUGCUAAAGCAGGUUCCUUACAGCAGGCCACACAGGAAAGCAUCCAGGCGAGUCUUGAAUAUCUCCAGAGAAGGAGGCUCCACAACGUCUCUGGGCAGCCUGUUCCAGCACUCCAUCACCCUCAAAGUAAAGAUGUCUUCCUCAUGUUUGGAUGGAACUUCCUGUGUAAGAUGUGGCUCUCAAGUUGCAGUGGUGCUGCCACUCAUCCUUCGACAGUUUACAAAGCUUGCAAACACCUUAACUGCAACAGGUAGUGCUUUCUUGCUGGGGAGGAUUUGCUGAGCAAAGUGGCUGUGCUUCUCUUUGGUAGCGUGCAUGGCACUGAGCUCUGGGGAUAUCAGGCAUCUGCAGACCAGAGGAAGCUGGGCGUUGUUGCAGUGACACAGGCACUGGUAGGCCAGGACACUUUGAGAGGGACCAUGCAUUUGGAGCUGCACCCAGAAAGUCUGCAGUCCUACAGGAGAGGCAGCUUUGCCAGUGGAGGAGGCUGGCAGGAGAAAGGAUUUAACCCCCAAGAGCAUUUGGGAGCUGGUGCUCCUGGCCAUGGUUGGCUUUCCCUACCACAAGCUCACCCAGCCAAGGGAGCGGGCCCUGAGCCUGAACCAACUCUUUUGCCUUUCGGUACACCCAGAAGUGCUUUUAUAAUGAGAUUGGGCCAGAGCCCAGUGAGCCUGGGGGAAUUAGAAGCAUUGUAUGUGCUCACAUGCUUGCUUCAUGGGGCAAUUUUAAUGAGUAAUUGAUUGCUAAUUAUAUGUGCUGCUUCGUGGUGAAACAUCGUGGUACUUUGAUAUGGACCAGGAACCGAAAGUUGCAGUUGGGUUUAUUUUUGAAAAACAUUUGGCCUGCUGAUCUGUAUGGGAUAUUUUGUGCUUGAUUAAUUUAAUGUAUUGUCUUGGGUGAGUGUUGAUUUACUUGCUGAAUUCAAGAUCAAUUUUAAUGAAGCUCUUAGUGCGUGCUGGUUUGGGGACAUAGGGUGCCAUAUUAUUGGUUUGUUUAGAUUGCUUACUGUUUUGUUAGAUUUCAAUAAGAAAAUUUCUGGCAUAGUGUCAGCUUCCCACUUCCCUACAAUUGAGCAGACAACAACAGAGCUUAAACAGACAACAAACUUUAUUAAACUCACAUGUACAUACAUAACAAGUACAAACUUUGGAGCAAGCAAGUCUGACCUAUUUGCCAACAGCAACAAGAAAUAUGUUCGUUUUUAACUCCCAAACCAGGUGCAGUCUGAGAAACAGCAACUGCAGCUGAAGAGUCAGACUGGAAAUUAAUUUGGAAAAUAAAGUGCAGACAUCAUGGAGGAUAUUAAUGCCUUCUCUGUUCUUCACCACUGCUGUGUUCCUCGACCCUUUGUCUUAACGUGCAUCUGGGGCAGGUCAUAGAAGUCUUCUUGGGAAAAAGAUGGGACAGGGUUCAGAGUACUGAGAAAUGUCUUGUGGAGCUCUGUAUAAUGAAAGCAUGGAGCUGGGAUGCUGCUGGACUUCCAGCGUCCUUGGUGUGCAACUAGCCGUGGCUCUUCAAGGUGCUGAGGCCUUCCUGGGUACUACAAAUCCACUGUGGAAAUGUUCAAAUCCAAAAUGCUUGCAAUGGCAUUGCAACCAUGACUACCUGUAUUGUUAUAGCAGAAGCUCUGGCGUUUGUUUUUAUCUCUUCAGCAGGAUAUGACUGUGCCCCCUGGGUCCACUGUUGCAUGUUUGGAAGAGUAUCCUGCUUCAACAAAGCAGAAGUUAACUAGGACUUUGGAGUUGGUAUUGGUUAUGCUGGGAGCAGACCAAGGGGAAUAUUUGCUUUCCAAUUCCAGAGGAAACUAAAAGCGGAUCCAACUUGAAGGGAGUGUGGUGUGGGAGGACACGCGGAGACGUGGGAACAAGGAGACUCAGGAAUGCUGUUGGAGAACUUUUCCACUCUUAAAAUGUACGACCAUGGUUAGACUUGGUUAGCAGUAGAGGCAAAUCAUGACAUUCCCACGACUGGAAAGUACCUGUGAGCUACACUCACCUUGGAUAAUGUCACUUGGCCCCUCCAGGCUAGACAAGUGGGUGGUGCUGGCAAGUACGUGAACAAUGUUUUUUCUUAUUCUGCAGGGAAGACACAUACUAACUUGUCAUGCUGUCUUUAAUUUGAUCUUGGAUGAUACACAAGUCCAACUGUUUAAUGUCCCGUGCAAAAUAAAUAAAUAAAAAGCAAUUAUUAUGUUAUUUGAGAGGAAAAAGCCAUUUGCUUGUUUGUGUUAGCAAAACAUGAAUUGGCACUUAUGGGGUCCAAAGGACCACAGAAUUUUCAACAGUAUUGGCUCCCACAAUGCUGAUGUUUUUAUUUUUUGGAGAGAGAUUUAGUAGCAGGAUGAGACAAAAGGAUGCACAGCAGGCCUGUAACAUCCUUCCUCUCCUGAGUAGUCUCUGUUCGGGCAAUGGCUAAAUGCCUUUAGAAGAGGACCACACUGAAGUUAUGGUGGUAGGUGAACAGCAGCACUUGCCAAGCAAGGCACCCCAUUCAAUCUGUUUUCAAUGAUUUAAAACUAAACUAGAAAAUGUGAAUGCAGGCAGGGACUUGGCAUUUAAAUUAUCCACUUGAGAUGACUGAGCUUUUUUUUUUUUUUAAUUUUUUUUUUUCUAAAACAAUUUAAAAAAUGGUAAUCCUGAGGGAUGCAAAAAGAGUUAGGGCAUAGAGAUGACAUGAAGAGAGUCCUUUCAUAUGCUGCUUGACAUUUCAGUAAUUCUUCAAGCAGCAUUUUAAAUUUCUUUUUAAAUGUAGAGCCUUCUUAGCCAAGUUUGCAGCAUGAGAAGACUGGAGUUUAAUCUUUUCAAUGUACACUGACUUGGUGUAGAGAUAGCUCUUUCUUGUAUGUUCACACUGCUGCUAGUAUACAUGUAUCCUCACAUGGCAUGAAGCCAGGAAAUACUAGGGUUAGAAAUGUCACAGAUAAUGCAGUAACUGAAACAUUUGACUAAGUUAUGAACUCACGUGAUCUUGAAUGGGAAGGAUAUAAGAGGUCUGCUCCAAAAGUAGCGCCUCCUAUUUUAUCAUAUUGGCCCAUGAUGUCAGAGGCAGAUGUUUGUGAUAUGUCACUAGAGAUUUAACCUUCCCACUCAUAUUCCAUUACGUUUUGUUGCCAUGCAACAAAUGGCAGCAGAAGGGCAAUCUGAC